rnacentral:piRNA from 1 species
UCCCCUGUCGGAGCCUUCGUCCUGCCACAG